UACGUAGGAUGCAAGCGUUGUUCGGAAUUACUGGGCGUAAAGCGUACGUAGGCGGUGUUAUAAGUCUGGUGUUAAAUUCAGAAGCUCAACUUCUGGCCUGUACCGGAAACUGUAAUGCUAGAGGACAGUAGAGGAAGUCGGAAUUCUCAGUGUAGCGGUGAAAUGCGUAGAUAUUGGGAAGAACACCAGUGGCGAAAGCGGACUUCUGGGCUGUUACUGACGCUGAGGUACGAAAGCGUGGGGAGCGAACAGG
rnacentral:rRNA from 1 species